UAUUUUCCUACUCCAUAAGAGUAGUAGUAAUAUAUCCAAAUGCUGAUUACUGUGUACUAUCUAUUGUCAAUCAUUUGUAUCCACCGAAUAUGUGCAUUAAUUUUCAUUUUUAAUCAAUCUCGUAAAAUGUUACGGUUUAAUUUAGUUUGUUUUUGCAAAUCAGAGCUAACACCGCCGCUGCCACUCCUUCUCCUGUGAUAUUCGAACCGACUGCCUAAAAACUUAGCUAAUAUUCCUUCACACUAAUUUGGUAUUAUGAUUUUUUAUAAAAAAUAAGACACAGUAUCAUUUGAUAAAAAUAAUAGUAUUAGUUGGGCAUACGAGUGUUAUAAUUUGGGCCUAAAUGAAAUAAUUUGAGGUAAUAAAGAGAGAAAGCCCAAAUAGAAAAAGCUUUGGAUAACUCUCCAUCGUCCGCGCCGGAGUUCUCCAACGCCAGCCGGCCACGCCUCUGUCUCUCCCCCUAUUCAGCCCUCCUUCUGCAUUCUCCAUGAAGAAAUAUUGAUAAGCUUGAAGCUCCACACCUAUUGCGAAAAAUUGAUUGUCAGAUUGGAAGGGAACGAGUUUGAGCUGGGAAGAUGGAGUCAAUAGUGAAAAAAUAUCAGAGACAAUUCCGGAAAAUUAAGGAUGAAACUAGCCGAUGGGAAGAGCUUCAGUCUCGACUUAUUUCCCAAUUUUCUAAUGCAUCUUCCAUCAUCCAGAGGCUUCAGGAGAUCCAAAAUUUGCAAAACUAUGGAACUUUGAGAUUUGUUGAGGGCAUAGAAGGUUUUGUGCUGGGAAAGCAGAUGGAUUCCUUUCAAACUAUCCUCCUCUCCAUCAACAACACUAUGAAAGAAUUUGGUGGGAUUGUUUCUUCCGUUGAGAAGGUGGUUCGUGAUAGCAAGCAGCUUCCGAAAGUGGGGUCUGCCCAGAUGAAUGCAAAACAACUGAAGCAACAGAUUGGAGUAAAACCAACUCUUGCAGAUUGCAUAGAAGGACUUAGACUUCUUGAAGAAAUGCAUCGAUCAGAGUACCUUCUUAAAUUAUCUCUGGUAUCUGCGCUCCCCGCCCUUGCUCUGAAACCCAGAUUUAUCUUUUCAGUGCAAGUGGUGACUUAGAGGCACUUCAACAGCUUUUGGUAGAUCAACCUAAUAUCCCCCGAGACGAAGUCCAAUAUGUUUAUGACAUUAUAUUUGCCGAAGAAAUUUCAUGAAGUGCUCUACAUGGUAAUGUCGAACUCCCAAGAAGGAAAGUUUGAGGGCCUUGAGCAUUCACAACUUACGGAAAUGGUGAAAGAAGCGUUACUGAAUGCUCCACGUCCCAAUUAAAGCAAGGCAAAUAUUGCCAAACCCCGGAGCUGUGACUUGUGAUUUCAUAUCAUCGAGAGCCCACGGUUGAUUUUUCUUAAAUGGAUUUGGAUUUUCUUAUACAAAGUUAGAAAGUUGGAAACUUUCUUCCCAUCAAGUUUGGAGAUUUUUUCAAGUUUUAAAUGUAUUGGAGGAAGGUAAAAUUUAUGAAAUUUGAUUUCUUACAA